UGACAGCAGGUCCUGUAGUCUACAGAGGUAAGGAGACUGACAGCAGGUCCUGUAGUCUACAGAGGUAAGGAGACUGACAGCAGGUCCUGUAGUCUACAGAGGUAAGGAGACUGACAGCAGGUCCUGUAGUCUACAGAGGUAAGGAGACUGACAGCAGGUCCUGUAGUCUACAGAGGUAAGGAGACUGACAGCAGGUCCUGUAGUCUACAGAGGUAAGGAGACUGACAGCAGGUCCUGUAGUCUACAGAGGUAAGGAGACUGACAGCAGGUCCUGUAGUCUACAGAGGUAAGGAGACUGACAGCAGGUCCUGUAGUCUACAGAGGUAAGGAGACUGACAGCAGGUCCUGUAGUCUACAGAGGUAAGGAGACUGACAGCAGGUCCUGUAGUCUACAGAGGUAAGGAGACUGACAGCAGGUCCUGUAGUCUACAGAGGUAAGGAGACUGACAGCAGGUCCUGUAGUCUACAGAGGUAAGGAGACUGACAGCAGGUCCUGUAGUCUACAGAGGUAAGGAGACUGACAGCAGGUCCUGUAGUCUACAGAGGUAAGGAGACUGACAGCAGGUCCUGUAGUCUACAGAGGUAAGGAGACUGACAGCAGGUCCUGUAGUCUACAGAGGUAAGGAGACUGACAGCAGGUCCUGUAGUCUACAGAGGUAAGGAGACUGACAGCAGGUCCUGUAGUCUACAGAGGUAAGGAGACUGACAGCAGGUCCUGUAGUCUACAGAGGUAAGGAGACUGACAGCAGGUCCUGUAGUCUACAGAGGUAAGGAGACUGACAGCAGGUCCUGUAGUCUACAGAGGUAAGGAGACUGACAGCAGGUCCUGUAGUCUACAGAGGUAAGGAGACUGACAGCAGGUCCUGUAGUCUACAGAGGUAAGGAGACUGACAGCAGGUCCUGUAGUCUACAGAGGUAAGGAGACUGACAGCAGGUCCUGUAGUCUACAGAGGUAAGGAGACUGACAGCAGGUCCUGUAGUCUACAGAGGUAAGGAGACUGACAGCAGGUCCUGUAGUCUACAGAGGUAAGGAGACUGACAGCAGGUCCUGUAGUCUACAGAGGUAAGGAGACUGACAGCAGGUCCUGUAGUCUACAGAGGUAAGGAGACUGACAGCAGGUCCUGUAGUCUACAGAGGUAAGGAGACUGACAGCAGGUCCUGUAGUCUACAGAGGUAAGG